UACGAAGGGGGCUAGCGUUGCUCGGAAUCACUGGGCGUAAAGCGCACGUAGGCGGAUUGUUAAGUCAGGGGUGAAAUCCUGGAGCUCAACUCCAGAACUGCCUUUGAUACUGGCAGUCUCGAGUGCGGGAGAGGUGAGUGGAAUUCCCAGUGUAGAGGUGAAAUUCGUAGAUAUUGGGAAGAACACCAGUGGCGAAGGCGGCUCACUGGCCCGUAACUGACGCUGAGACGCGAAAGCGUGGGGAGCGAACAGG
rnacentral:rRNA from 1 species